rnacentral:tRNA from 1 species
UAGCUCAGUCGGUAGAGCAGGGGACUGAAAAUCCCUGUGUCGGCGGUUCAAUUCCG